rnacentral:lncRNA from 1 species
CUUCCUCGCUCUGCUUCUCCACCCGCCCUGGGAGCCGUUUUUCCUCAGCCCAGCUCUGUUGAUGCUCAUUCUGGGCCCCGGGGCCCAAACAAAGUAAGCUGCUCAAAGCGGCGGACUAGACCGGUACUCGUCGAUGCCAUACUUGGACCCUUCGCGCCCCAGGCCAGACUGUUUCACCCCACCGAAAGGACAUUCCACUGACGAGAUCAGUCCUUCGUUCACGCCGACCAUGCCGACCUCCAGCUGCUCCGCCACUCUCCAGAUCUGGGCUGGGUCUUGAGAGUAAAAGUAACCUAGCAGGGGAACCAAGGGACACAGACAGCUUGAGGAAUUCUCCUGAAAGUCACACGCACCUGCCUCUGAGGAUGUCUGCCUGCUCACAUGGGCCCCGGGGUUCUCCUGCUUGCAGGUAAAGCCCCAGGUUGGUUUUGUCCACAUUUUCAUCCUAAGAACCUUGGACAUCACGUUAAGCGUCUGUUUCUCUCUUGCUGGGGCUUUCCCUAGCACCACUGGGCCUUUGUAAGCACGAACAUCUUGUGUUCACCUCCUGCUCUUCAGCCCAUCCUUCUUCAGAGGACAAGAUGCUUCUUUAGACCUUGCAGUUGGUCCUAGUUGUCUAUAAAGUAAGCCCACAUCGCUCAGUCCUGCCCCAGAGUGUGGCUGGGUCAGCAUUUUCAGCUUACUUCUGACUGCAGUUCAGAACUUAAGAGUAAUGCUCAAAAGGCGGAGACUGGCAUUUACUUGCAUCAUGACAACGGUGGCCACCAGUCAGAAAACGUACCUGCCAAUCCAACCUCAGCUGCAUUUGCGAUGGCGAUGGCCUCUUCCUCUUUAUCAAACCUGCCGGAGUUGAAGCAUGUCAUAAGCAAAAUCUGUGAGCUGACGAAUAGAGAAAACCAGCUUUAUGUUCUCCUGAUUCACUCCCUAAAUACUGACAAGGAGGAGGUCAGAGUUGCAAAGAGAUCCAGGGCAGGAUAAAUGAGUGGAGUUAAAGCGUAGACAUGGCAACUCAGACCCGGUAAAGCAACGUGGCCCACCUUCUCUAAGAGAUAGGGAAAAACAGAUCAACCGAGCCGAGACAUCGCCAAACAAAAUCCUUUAAUGAAAGGACUGCUACGUGCUAGAGUGCUAGUUCAUUAGUUGAGAGCACUUGUUGCUCUUGCAGAGGACCUGGGUUUGACUCCCAGCACCCACGUGGUGGCUCACAACUCUUUAACUCCAGUUCCAGCAAAUCUGACAUCUUCUGAGCCCUUCCAGGUCCUGGAUCCAAGUAGAAAAUGGAAUAUUUUCAGACCACUGGUCUGAGAAUUAUCCAGGCAAAUGAUUAUUUAUUAAGGUGGAAGAAAAGAUUAAACAAGGUUCAUUUCCUAUAGACUGCUAGGAUAGGGGCCUUGAGGGUAUUAGAAAAAUACUCUUAGAAAUUGGUGGGGGAAAGUAAGUUUAGAGGCAUUAAGAAAUCUAAAUGAGGGAUUUUGAUGAAUUUUGUGCUUGAAAUUGGGUACGGUGUAUGCCUAUAGGGGAGGCUAAAGCAAGAAGGUUGAGAGUUCAAGGCCAGCCUGGGUUACAGAUGAGGCCUUGUUUCAAACAGACAAACACCCAAAACUAAAACCAACAAUAACCACCCUCCACACCGCCUAACAAAGAUAAAACACAAACACCAAAAAAACCGGGGCAACGACUAGGGAGAUACCUGGCUCUGUUGGUAAAUGCUGAGUUCGAUCCCCCAGAACCCGUAUGAAAACUCAGUUGUGGUGGCCUGUGCUUGCGAUCCCAGGUCUAGCCAGCCUACUCGCCUGGGGAGCCCUGGGUUGCUGUGAGAGGCCCUGUCUCCAAGUUUAAGGUGGACAGCUCCCAAGUAACAACACCCAGGGCUGACCCAUAUGUGCACCUGAAUACACAAACUCCAAAAUCAAACCCCAACUAUCAUAAACUCAACUCUGCUGCUUGACUCUGACCUGUUCGACUCUGUUUGACUCUGCUAUGCAGCUCUGACUCUGACUGCUCAGCUUUCCUACCCCUCUCCCUCUUAGACUAGCUUUUCCUUUCCAAGCUUCUCCUCCCUUCCACUACUGGAGGAACGUACUUGAUGACUGGUGCGAGGGGCCCGAAGGUUUCCUCAGUGAUGCAGAGCAUGUUCCUGGUGACAUUGCUGAGCAGGGUGGGCUCGAAGAAAUUUCCUCCACUUUGGUGUCGCUUCCCGCCCGUCACAACCGUGGCCCCUUUGGCAACUGCGUCAUUCACCUGCUUCUCUACCUGAGAGAAGAGAAGAAGGGCGCCAGGGAAAGCUGGAUGGGGACAUUCUCCAAAUGGUACAAUCCCUUAAAAUGUUAAACAGCAGAAACCAGUCAAGAUUCGAUUCCUGGCAGCCACAUGGUGGAAGGGAGAGAACGAACUCCGGAUAGCCCAUUGCUUCUCUGAGCUUUGCAUUUACGGAUGCUGGGCUGGUUGUACUCUUAGAUCACUUGUUUACUUCUGUUUGGGUUGAAGGGAUGUUGGGAUACAUCUCAAAUAUAAAGUCAUUGCUUACCCGUGGCAGAUGUGUUCUGUCUCAGAAAUGUGUUCUUAGCUGAUUUAGCUAUUGAAUAAACAUCAUACAAUAUUUUAAUACAAACCC